AAACUUAAAUGAAUUGACGGGGACCCGCACAAGCGGUGGAUGAUGUGGUUUAAUUCGAUGCAACGCGAAAAACCUUACCCACCUUUGACAUGUACGGAACCCUUUAGAGAUAGAGGGGUGCUCGAAAGAGAACCGUAACACAGGUGCUGCAUGGCUGUCGUCAGCUCGUGUCGUGAGAUGUUGGGUUAAGUCCCGCAACGAGCGCAACCCUUGCCAUUAGUUGCUACGAAAGGGCACUCUAAUGGGACUGCCGGUGACAAACCGGACGGAAGGUGGGGAGUGACGUCAAGUACCUCAUGGCCUUACUAGUGGGGCGUACACACGUCAUACAAU
rnacentral:rRNA from 1 species